rnacentral:rRNA from 1 species
UACGUAGGGUGCGAGCGUUGUCCGGAAUUACUGGGCGUAAAGAGCUCGUAGGUGGUUUGUCGCGUUGUUCGUGAAAACUCACAGCUCAACUGUGGGCGUGCGGGCGAUACGGGCAGACUGGAGUACUGCAGGGGAGACUGGAAUUCCUGGUGUAGCGGUGAAAUGCGCAGAUAUCAGGAAGAACACCCGUGGCGAAGGCGGCUCUCUGGAACGCAACUGACGCUGAGACGCGAAAGCGUGGGGAGCAAACAGG